CAAGAACUCACUCCUUUUUAUUGCCUUGUAGUAUUCCAUGGUAUUGAUGUACCAUUGUCUGUUAACAAUUCACUCAUUAAAGGACAUGUGGGUGAUUUUCAGCUUUGGCGUAUUACAAAUAAAGCUGCUAUGAACAUUCCUGUACAAGUUCCUUUGUGAAAAGAUGUUUCGUAUCUUUGAAGUAAAUGCCCAAAUGCAACAAUUGGGCUGUAUGUUUCCAGAAGAAUUUUUCCAUAUCACUGAGAGGAACAAAAUAUGAGCUAAGAAAUGGCUAUGAACAUUCCACACUAAAAACCAAGAGGCCUCUGCUUCUCCAUGGUAGGAGUGCCAACUUCAAAGAUGUGUUCGGCUCAUGACUCAAAUAUUUUGGAAGUUCUAUUGGAGUUCACAUUGACUAAGAAUAUUGCUGGGAAAUGACUAAGAAAUUCUGUAAGACAUCCUUAAAGAAAAUUGUAUCUAAUUACAUACCGUUCCCAAUCUUUAUAUUCUGCUUUUCAAAAAUUUUAAUAAAACAUUGUCAUUAAUUAUUUUGUAUAAAUUACCUGAAAAUCAUAAUAUCAUUUACACUAUUUAUACAUGUAGAGGACCAUAAUUAUGUUCUUCUGUAUUUGCCAUUUAGUGCAAAAUAUAGAAAGGAAAUAUUACUGACAAAAACUACUGAGCUACUGUUCUUUCUGUCACAUGUUAACACUAGCACUUUUCCUUGACAGUGGUCCCCAAAGUUUUUUGAUAAC